GCGUUUCCUGUUUUCCGACUUCCAAUAAGAUGCUGCUCAACCUGCUGAGUUCUUCCAGAAGAUUGCUUGUUGAAUGACCAUGGAAUUGGGUGAGUAGGAUGCUGUAUGACCUGUUAGGUAUCUCCAACAUUAUUGUUUUUAAUUCAGAUUUCCAGCAGCAGCAGUUUUUACUUUUCAAAUGUCCAGAUCUACAGUUUUUUUGAUUGGUA